rnacentral:rRNA from 1 species
CCUACGGGGGGCAGCAGUGGGGAAUAUUGGACAAUGGGGGGAACCCUGAUCCAGCCAUGCCGCGUGUGUGAAGAAGGCCCUCGGGUUGCAAAGCACUUUCAGUGAGGAAGAACGCCUGGUGGUUAAUACCCAUCAGGAAAGACAUCACUCACAGAAGAAGCACCGGCUAACUCCGUGCCAGCAGCCGCGGUAAUACGGAGGGUGCGAGCGUUAAUCGGAAUUACUGGGCGUAAAGCGCGCGUAGGUGGCUUGAUAAGCCGGUUGUGAAAGCCCCGGGCUCAACCUGGGAACGGCAUCCGGAACUGUCAAGCUAGAGUGCAGGAGAGGAAGGUAGAAUUCCCGGUGUAGCGGUGAAAUGCGUAGAGAUCGGGAGGAAUACCAGUGGCGAAGGCGGCCUUCUGGACUGACACUGACACUGAGGUGCGAAAGCGUGGGUAGCAAACAGGAUUAGAUACCCGUGUAGUC